rnacentral:rRNA from 1 species
CGCAGCCGCGGUAAUUCCAGCUCCAAUAGCGUAUAUUAAAGUUGUUGCAGUUAAAAAGCUCGUAGUUGAAUUUCGGGGUUAGUAGGCUGGUCGUGCCACAGGUAUGUACUGGUCUUACUGAUUCCUCCUUCCUGAUGAACCGUAAUGCCAUUAAUUUGGUGUUGCGGGGAAACUGGACUGUUACUUUGAAAAAAUUAGAGUGUUUAAAGCAGGCUAACGCUUGAAUACAUUAGCAUGGAAUAACGAAAUAGGACGAUCGAUCUUAUUUUGUUGGUUUCUAGGAUUGACGUAAUGAUUAAUAGGGAUAGUUGGGGGCAUUAGUAUUCAAUUGUCAGAGGUGAAAUUCUUGGAUUUAUUGAAGACUAACUACUGCGAAAGCAUUUGCCAAGGAUGUUUUCAUUAAUCAAGAAUGAAAGUUAGGGGAUCGAAGACGAUCAGAUACCGUCGUAGUCUUAACCAUAAAACCUAUGCCGACCAGGGAUCGGAUGAUGUUAAUUUUUAAUGACUCAUUCGGCGCCUU